rnacentral:rRNA from 1 species
CUUCAACGGAGAGUUUGAUCCUGGCUCAGGAUGAACGCUGGCGGCGUGCUUAACACAUGCAAGUCGAACGAUGACCCGGUGCUUGCACCGGUGAUUAGUGGCGAACG